rnacentral:rRNA from 2 species
GGUUAAGCGACUAAGCGUACACGGUGGAUGCCCUGGCAGUCAGAGGCGAUGAAGGACGUGCUAAUCUGCGAUAAGCGUCGGUAAGGUGAUAUGAACCGUUAUAACCGGCGAUUUCCGAAUGGGGAAACCCAGUGUGAUUCGUCACACUAUCAUUAACUGAAUCCAUAGGUUAAUGAGGCGAACCGGGGGAACUGAAACAUCUAAGUACCCCGAGGAAAAGAAAUCAACCGAGAUUCCCCCAGUAGCGGCGAGCGAACGGGGAGGAGCCCAGAGCCUGAAUCAGUGUGUGUGUUAGUGGAAGCGUCUGGAAAGGCGCGCGAUACAGGGUGACAGCCCCGUACACAAAAAUGCACAUGCUGUGAGCUCGAUGAGUAGGGCGGGACACGUGGUAUCCUGUCUGAAUAUGGGGGGACCAUCCUCCAAGGCUAAAUACUCCUGACUGACCGAUAGUGAACCAGUACCGUGAGGGAAAGGCGAAAAGAACCCCGGCGAGGGGAGUGAAAAAGAACCUGAAACCGUGUACGUACAAGCAGUGGGAGCACAGAGCAAUCUGUGUGACUGCGUACCUUUUGUAUAAUGGGUCAGCGACUUAUAUUCUGUAGCAAGGUUAACCGAAUAGGGGAGCCGAAGGGAAACCGAGUCUUAAC